GGUGCGCAGGUAACGGUUACUUCCUCUUUCACAGGAGAGACGCGGGUUCGAAUCCCGCCGCGG
rnacentral:tRNA from 1 species